rnacentral:rRNA from 1 species
UACGAGGGGGGCGAGCGUUGUUCGGAAUUAUUGGGCGUAAAGGGUGCGUAGGCGGUUUGGUAAGUCUUAUGUGAAAUCUACAGGCUCAACUUGUAGUCUGCAUGAGAAACUGCCGGGCUUGAGUAUGGGAGAGGUGAGUGGAAUUCCUGGUGUAGCGGUGAAAUGCGUAGAUAUCAGGAGGAACACCUGUGGCGAAAGCGGCUCACUGGACCAUAACUGACGCUGAUGCACGAAAGCGUGGGGAUCAAACAGG